rnacentral:misc_RNA from 1 species
GAUGAAGAACGUAGCGAAAUGCGAUAAGUAAUGUGAAUUGCAGAAUUCAGUGAAUCAUCGAAUCUUUGAACGCACAUUGCGCCCGCCAGCACUCUGGCGGGCAUGCCUGUUCGAGCGUCAUUUCAACCAUCAAGCCCCCAGGGGCUUGUGCUGGGGCCCUGCGGCUGCCCGCAGGCCCUGAAAACCAGUGGCGGGCUCGCUAGUCACACCGAGCGCAGUAGCACAUCUCGCUCAGGGCGUGCGGCGGGCUCCUGCCGUGAAACCCCCCACUGUAACCCCAAAGGUUGACCUCGUAUCAGGUAGGAAUACCCGCUGAACUUAAGCAUAUCAAUAAGCGGAGGA